GACCGCGACCCCAGGUCAGGCG
rnacentral:rRNA from 1 species